CAUUGUGGUUAAACCUUUUUUUCAACCACAAUCUUGUGCGAUAUCAGAAGCUAAGCAGUGUUGGACCUGGUUAGUACUUCGAUGGGAGACCGCUGGGAAUACCAGGUGCUACAAAAA
rnacentral:rRNA from 1 species